AUAAAGUCAAACGAACCGGAGCAUGAGAUAUACGGCAAAUAUUCAUAUUAAAUGACAGAUUUCACAACAGAGUACUUUUUUUACAUAAUCAGAAGUUUUUAUAUAAUCAGAACAAUAUGAGGUAAUAUCAAUGUUCGAUGGAACGUCAACAUUUUUAAAUUUUUUAAAUAACAAAGUGGUUCUAAUGUAAUAUACAUGUUUAUGUAAAUCAUGAUUAGAUUAGCCGAUAUGAAUUAUAAAUUGAUCAUAGUACGAUUGACGACGUGGUUUAAUCAUUCGGUUUACUGGUUUAACAAUGUUUGUUGCGAAAGUAAUCAUCUUUUGGAAUUGUCCAAAAUGUCAGAAAACGUCUUAAAAUUCCAAUGAAUCGCUUAGAAAAAGCUCCAACUUUCUAAAUAAGCGAGGCAAUUGCAUUUGUAACGGCUUGGAUUAUUAUUUUUCACUCGUAACUCGACGUAAUCCUUUGAAAACAAUUAGACCUACGUUCUCGUGAUACUUCCUUGAAUAUUGUUAUAUUUUAUGAUUAUUACCAAUACUACAAUUAGUCUGUCAAAAUUUGUAAGUACGUAAAUGAAAUUUUUUAUAUUUAAUCCGUAUAGUACCGAAUAUUUUGCAAAUUUAAUUCCAAAUUGUCGAUUAAAAUAUGAUGUAGAGCUUUUUAUAAAGAAUAAUAAUAUAAAAUUUAUAAAUUUGAUUAGAAAUAUCAUCGUAAAAAAAUUUAAAUACUACAAAACUUCAAUGUAUCUGUUUUCGAUUGAAGGGGAAUGUAAAUAACAAUGCUAACAUUUAAUUAUAAUUACAUCAAUAACGUAUCAAAAUUGCGGGUACAUGUAUACUUCUCUUUUAGCUUCAGCUUCUCUUUAAGCAAAUUAUUUCUGUGUUUUAGAAAAUUCGCACCUUGACUCUUGCCACACUUCGGCAUACAGUUGGAUAAAAACUCAUCUGCCCUAAACAUGCCUUUGACCUUGAGUCCAGGGAUAACUCAUAAUAGGAAGAGGACCUUGUAUGGUCUCUUUUAAAACAAGUCUAACCAUAUAGGAAGUUAUAGUUUCACUUACUUUCAAGAGGAUAAAUAUCUCGCUCAUAUUGGAACACUGCGGAAUACUGGAUUGCAAGUACAAAUUCUCUUAUAUGUGAUUUAGUGUCGAUAAUUAUUCUACAGUCUGUUGUCUUGUUGAAUAUAAUGCUGCCAUUAAUAAUGAACAAUUGCGAAUGUAUAGAAAUAAUUACAUAAACUACAGAUGAUGCUGAUUCAAUUGAAUUUCAUUGAAAGAGGAUCGUUGUCUGAUCUUCUCGAGAACUGUUAGUUGAAAGGGUUUUAGGGACGAGGAUGGUCACAGAAAUACCUGACCUGAGAGAUGGCGGUAGCUGCUUGAAAAAUACCACUGUAUUAGAAAGUACACGAUCUGUACAGAUUAUGUUUUAAGUUUGGAAACGCCACGUUGUUUAGUAUUCGUUUGCCAGCCAUCAAUAGUGAAUGUUUUCAGUGAAUUGGUAAAUAUGAAAAAAAUUGGUCAUCGAUAUGUGAUUUGAAACGCUUUAGUCCAACCAAUAUAAAAGCUGAACUAGAUUCUACUCUCGGUGAAACUGCUCUUUCGUUAUCAACAGUGAAAUAUUGGCGUUUAAAAGAGGCCUGCGAAUACCAGCAUCGCAGUGGUCUACCAAAUGUCUGCGCGAGCUAGCAGACUUAGUAGGGAUUUGAAAAAGUGAGGUACAUCGCAUAUUAAGUAAAAAUUUGGAACAAUAAUAAGGUCGUUAAGAUGCUUCCAUUGAGUGCUUGGCAAUGUUUCACAGAAAUAAAGCCAAAUUUUUGCGCUGUUUCAUAACUAUGGAUGAAACGUGUGUCCAUCAUUUUACACCCGAAAAGAAGAUAAAAAGACGGCUCCUUUUGCAGACAAGAUAAUUGCUUCGGUUUUUUGGGAAGUGCAUAGGAUAAUUUUCAUCUUAAAAAAGGAAAAGAUUUUCUGCUUUCUACCACAUUUGGCUAAGAAGAAAGUAUUGUUUCAUCAAGACAAUGUACCAGUUCACACAUCCAUUAUUGCAAUGGCCAAAAUCAAUGAAUUAAAGUUUGAAUUGCUACCUCAUGCACCCUAUUUGUCAGAUUUAGCCCAUUCGAAUUAUUUUCUGUUUCCACACUUAAAAAAAUGAGACAGUGAUCAACGAUUUUCCAACAAUGAAAAAGUGAUGUCGACAGUUAAUGGCUAUUUUGAGGAGUUUGAAAAUUUUUAUGAUAAAAAGGGUUUCGAACAUCGAUGGAAAAACUAUUUGGAGCGAAAAGGAGAUUACGUUGGAUCACGUACUUUUGGGCCCACCCUCGUAAAGCUACAAUAGUAAAUCAUGUACUGUAAAAUGAUUACACGUGAAAAAUUAAUAAGCAACGGUUACUUAGUUGGUUUGGAGUCGUAUGCAUGAACACAUUUCUUAAAAUGAUAAAAUAUUAUUCAAAUUACAUGCUAAUAUUAUUACCUGG